ACGCGAAGAACCUUACCUACUCUUGACAUCCAGAGAAGCUUGAAGAGAUUCGAGUGUGCCUUCGGGAACUCUGAGACAGGUGCUGCAUGGCUGUCGUCAGCUCGUGUUGUGAAAUGUUGGGUUAAGUCCCGCAACGAGCGCAACCCUUAUCCUUGUUUGCCAGCACUUCGGGUGGGAACUCCAGGGAGACUGCCGGUGAUAAACCGGAGGAAGGUGGGGACGACGUCAAGUCAUCAUGGCCCUUACGAGUAGGGCUACACACGUGCUACAAUGGCAUAUACAGAGGGCAGCAAGACCGCGAGGUGGAGCGAAUCCCAGAAAGUAUGUCGUAGUCCGGAUCGGAGUCUGCAACUCGACUCCGUGAAGUCGGAAUCGCUAGUAAUCGUGGAUCAGAAUGCCACGGUGAAUACGUUCCC
rnacentral:rRNA from 1 species